rnacentral:rRNA from 1 species
GGGAACGUAUUCACCGCAGCGUUGCUGAUCUGCGAUUACUAGCGACUCCGACUUCAUGGGGUCGAGUUGCAGACCCCAAUCCGAACUGAGACCAGCUUUUUGGGAUUAGCUCCACCUUGCGGUAUUGCAGCCCUUUGUACUGGCCAUUGUAGCAUGUGUGCAGCCCAAGACAUAAGGGGCAUGAUGAUUUGACGUCAUCCCCACCUUCCUCCGAGUUGACCCCGGCAGUCUCCUAUGAGUCCCCGACAUUACUCGCUGGCAACAUAGGACGAGGGUUGCGCUCGUUGCGGGACUUAACCCAACAUCUCACGACACGAGCUGACGACAACCAUGCACCACCUGUAUACCGCCCUUGCGGACCCCAUAUCUCUAUGAGUUUUCGGUAUAUGUCAAGCCUUGG